GAUGAACGCUGGCGGCGUGCCUAAUACAUGCAAGUCGAACGAACAGACGAGGAGCUUGCUCCUCUGACGUUAGCGGCGGACGGGUGAGUAACACGUGGAUAACCUACCUAUAAGACUGGGAUAACUUCGGGAAACCGGAGCUAAUACCGGAUAAUAUAUUGAACCGCAUGGUUCAAUAGUGAAAGACGGUUUUGCUGUCACUUAUAGAUGGAUCCGCGCCGCAUUAGCUAGUUGGUAAGGUAACGGCUUACCAAGGCAACGAUGCGUAGCCGACCUGAGAGGGUGAUCGGCCACACUGGAACUGAGACACGGUCCAGACUCCUACGGGAGGCAGCAGUAGGGAAUCUUCCGCAAUGGGCGAAAGCUUGACGGAGCAACGCCGCGUGAGUGAUGAAGGUCUUCGGAUCGUAAAACUCUGUUAUUAGGGAAGAACAAAUGUGUAAGUAACUAUGCACGUCUUGACGGUACCUAAUCAGAAAGCCACGGCUAACUACGUG
rnacentral:rRNA from 1 species